rnacentral:rRNA from 1 species
GAUGAACGCUAGCUACAGGCUUAACACAUGCAAGUCGAGGGGUAACGAGAGGGAAGCUUGCUUUCCUUGUCGACGACCGGCGCACGGGUGAGUAACGCGUAUCCAACCUGCCCCCAACUAGGGAAUAACCUUGCGAAAGUAAGACUAAUACCCUAUAAUUUCCUCAGAUGUCAUCUGACGAGGAAUAAAGAUUUAUCGGUUGUGGAUGGGGAUGCGUCUGAUUAGCUUGUUGGCGGGGUAACGGCCCACCAAGGCAACGAUCAGUAGGGGUUCUGAGAGGAAGGUCCCCCACACUGGAACUGAGACACGGUCCAAACUCCUACGGGAGGCAGCAGUGAGGAAUAUUGGUCAAUGGGCGGAAGCUUGAACCAGCCAAGUAGCGUGCAGGAUGACGGCCCUAUGGGUUGUAAACUGCUUUUAUACAGGAAUAAAGUUAGCCACGUGUGGUUAUUUGUAGGUACUGUAUGAAUAAGGACCGGCUAAUUCCGUGCCAGCCGCCGCGGUAA